UGGUAGUUCAUGCUAGGAAUGACUCUGGUCAGGCAGCUGUCAUUCUUUAGGAGCAUAUCAUUACAUGGUGACCUCAUCCUUAUCUGACUCAGGAAGGCAUCAAAUUACUAUUUGAUACUUUCCAUCAGAGGUUUAAGGUGACUGAAGUAUGCAACUUAAAUAAAGUGAAGAUAUUGUAGUCUAUGUUGGAUAUUAUAGCCUAUGUUAUGUCUCAGGCCAUAGCCCCACUAAGGAGCAUACCAAUCAAUCUUAGGGUACAACCCAUCCUGGAAGGUAUAACUCCACUAAGAAGCUCAUUCACCUCAAUGUCAGAGGAUAAUCUUUCCCUUUUCACUUGGAUUUGUGGACAAGCCUCUCAAGGACAAGACUAAUUCUGCCCACAACGGAGCUUCUCUCCGCAUAACCUAUGAGGCAACUGUGAAAGAGAUGAACUCUUACAGUAGAAAAAGCCUGCAAGACCGCAAGGCUGCUAGGAUUCCCCUGAGCAGUUUCCUGGACAUAUAUACUAGAGUGCAGAUGUUUUCGGAGAUGGUAGUGGACCAUAGGAUUAUGAUUCCACCAACCUGCCAUGGGUUGCAGGCCUGGCCCAUUAAUGGAUGCCAGCAUACAGAAGAGCAUUCAGUAGAUUACCACUCUCAGGUCAAGUUCACAUCAGCCACAAAGAAAGAAAAUAUAGUCAGUCAGACUAUGAAACCUUUUACAAAGGGACAACAUCCAGGAGUCCCUGAGCCACCUAAAGGAAAAGCCUGGGGUGGUGGCACAGGUUGUCCAGCCUAAAUGAUACCAAUCCAUUUGGGUCCAUUCUCUGCUUGAGUCUUCAGCAAAUGAUCUUUGUGGUCAUGUGAUAUCUCCUUGGUGACCUUGUACAUCCCCAAGGCCUGCUGCCCAUAUGGGAACAAUGUCAGUCCCCUAG
rnacentral:lncRNA from 1 species